CAGUCCGAGCAUCCUUCCGUCAUGGCUCCUAUUUCGGCUAUGUCGUUCGCUAACCUGACGGUUCUGUCUAUCUUCUUCCUCCUGGUGUUAUGCUUGCCGCCCGGGGGAGGGCAAAAGAAGAAGGAGAACUUGCUGUCAGAGAAGGUUGAGCAGAUGAUGGAGUGGUCCUCUCGCCGUUCAGUCGUCAGGAUGAACGGGGACAAGUUCCGCCGCUUUGUCAAGGCUCCACCCAGGAACUACUCUGUCAUUGUCAUGUUCACUGCCCUGCAGCCUCAAAGGCAGUGCUCUGUCUGCAGGCAGGCGAAUGAAGAGUACCAGGUCCUAGCAAAUUCAUGGCGUUACUCAUCUGCAUUUUCCAACAAGCUGUUCUUCACAGUAGUGGACUAUGAUGAAGGAGCUGAUGUUUUCCAGCAGCUGAACAUGAACAGCGCUCCAACCUUCAUGCAUUUUCCAGCUAAGGGAAAACCCAAGAGGGCUGAUACAUUUGACCUGCAAAGGAUUGGCUUCGCUUCAGAGCAGCUGGCCAAGUGGAUUGCAGACCGCACAGAUGUUCAGAUCCGUGUUUUCCGUCCUCCCAAUUAUUCAGGAACCAUUGCUUUAGCUCUGUUAGUUUCUCUGGUUGGAGGGCUGCUUUAUCUGAGGAGGAACAACUUGGAAUUCAUAUAUAACAAGACUGGAUGGGCCAUGGCUGCACUGUGUGUAGUUUUUGCAAUGACAUCUGGCCAGAUGUGGAAUCACAUCCGAGGUCCUCCAUACGCCCACAAAAACCCCCAGAAUGGACAAGUGAGUUAUAUUCAUGGCAGCAGUCAAGCUCAGUUUGUGGCUGAGUCUCACAUUAUCCUUCUUCUGAAUGCUGCAAUCACCAUGGGGAUGGUGCUGCUGAAUGAGGCUGCCACCUCCAAGGGAGAUGUUGGCAAGAGGAGAAUCAUCUGCCUGGUCGGCCUUGGCCUGGUGGUGUUUUUCUUCAGCUUCCUGCUCUCCAUUUUCAGGUCCAAGUACCAUGGAUACCCCUACAGCCUGGUCUGAUUCCACUCUGAUGUCCCUGUCUUACCUGACCUCUGAGUCGACAUCCUGCUGCUCCACAGCAAUCUUUGAAGAAACACUUCUGCUGCCUGUCUGUUCAGGGCAUGAUGCCACCUCAGUGUGCACCACCGUCUCCUCUCAUCUGCAGUCCACAAACACUUUCUCCAGGCAUCCACACUUCAGCUACACCGAACCCUGUGCCCACCGAUGACGCCACCAUCCCCUUUCCUACUAGAUCCUGCUUGUGGAUAAUCCUGGACCUG